rnacentral:hammerhead_ribozyme from 1 species
AUUCAGUCAAUGAGUCUCAAAUAGAACGAAACGGCCUUCCUGAAU